rnacentral:lncRNA from 1 species
GGGCACUUCCGCAUUAGCACUCGGCACAAAGGCCCAUUCAAUAUAAUUCUCAACUUUUAUUUCAUUCCUUGUUCCUCAUUUUUCUUUCAUUCACUAUAUCUCUCAAUAUCAUUGUCUUUAACUUUAACCUUUUUUAGGGGCAACUUACAUUCUUUUUCAUUUCCUAAGUUUGUCUAAUCUAAAACCAUGUUGGUAAGGUAACUCUAGAGAUCUUAAUCUUUAAUUUAAGUUAGGUUUUACUGAAUUUGGAUUAGAAUUGAAUUUUAUACAAGCUUUAAAAUUCUGCUGUUGCAUUUACAAAAAUUCGGAAAAACAGACAGCAGCCAUGUUUUUU